rnacentral:rRNA from 1 species
CCUACGGGAGGCACCAGUAGGGAAUCUUGGACAAUGGGCGAAAGCCUGAUCCAGCGACGCCGCGUGGGGGAUGAAGGCCUUCGGGUUGUAAACCCCUGUUGUGGGGAAAGAAGCCACGGGUUCACUGUGGUGACGGUACCCCACGAGGAAGCCCCGGCUAACUACGUGCCAGCAGCCGCGGUAAGACGUAGGGGGCGAGCGUUAUCCGGAUUCACUGGGCGUAAAGGGCGCGUAGGCGGCUACGUAAGUCCGGCGUGAAAUCCCACGGCUCAACUGUGGAACUGCGUCGGAUACUGCGUUGGCUAGAGGACGGUAGAGGCUAGUGGAACUAGCGGUGUAGCGGUGAAAUUCGUAGAUAUCAGAAGGAACAUCAGUGGCGAAAGCGACUUCCUGGGCCAGAACUGACGAUCAGGCACGAAAGCGUGGGGAGCAAACAGGAUUAGAUACCCGCGUAGUC